ACGGUGACCUGUUCACCGCCGGCGAGUCCUGCUCAGCGUUGGGGGGCUCGUAUCAGCGUGUGGUGUGGGACGAGGAAGUCGCCGACAACGCGUGGAUCGACUUCGUGGACGCUGACAAGGCGAUCCCCGAAUACAAGUGGGGCCGGCUUACUGCGGUCACGUUCUGGUCUGAGCUCGCGGGUUCGGAUGAGCGGGACGUGUGGCGGCACCUCGAACGAUACGAGAAGGGCCGCAUCGUCCACUCCCUCUACAAGGGGACACCGACGAACCUCGGUAGCGCAAUGGACCUGGACGCCCACGAUGACACCGCAGGGAUCACCCUCAACGGCUUCGACGACGAGA
rnacentral:misc_RNA from 1 species